AUUGAACGCUGGCGGCAGGCCUAACACAUGCAAGUCGAACGAGUGGCGGACGGGUGUGUAAUGUCUGGGAAACUGCGCGAUGGAGGGGGAUAACUACUGGAAACGAUAGCUUAUACCGUAUACCAUCGUAUGUCCCCAUGUGGGAUUAGCUUGUAGGUGGGGUAAUGGCUCACCUAGGCGACGAUCCCUAGCUGGUCUGAGAGGAUGAACAGCCACACUGGAACUGAGACACGGUCCAGACUCCUACGGGAGGCAGCAGUGGGGAAUAUUGCACAAUGGGCGCAAGCCUGAUGCAGCCAUGCCGCGUGUAUGAAGAAGGCCUUCGGGUUGUAAAGUACUUUCAGCGAGGAGGCGUUACUCGCAGAAGAAGCACCGGCUAACUCCGUGCCAGCAGCCGCGGUAAUUC
rnacentral:rRNA from 1 species